GCUUCUGUGGCGCAAUUGGCUAGCGCGUCUGACUGUUAAUCAGGAGGUUGGUGGUUCAAGCCCACCCAGGAGCG